rnacentral:rRNA from 1 species
AUUGAACGCUAGCGGCAUGCUUUACACAUGCAAGUCGAACGAGUGGCGGACGGGUGAGUAAUAUAUCGGAACGUGCCCGGUAGCGGGGGAUAACUACUCGAAAGGGUGGCUAAUACCGCAUACUAUUGGAGCGGCCGAUAUGGGAUUAGCUAGUUGGUGGGGUAAAGGCUCACCAAGGCCACGAUCCGUAGCUGGUCUGAGAGGACGACCAGCCAGACUGGGACUGAGACACGGCCCAGACUCCUACGGGAGGCAGCAGUGGGGAAUUUUGGACAAUGGGGGAAAGCCUGAUCCAGCCAUCCCGCGUGUAUGAGAAGGCCUUAGGGUUGUAAAGUACUUUUGGCAGAGAAGCGGUAUCUGCAGAAGAAGCACCGGCUAACUACGUGCCAGCAGCCGCGGUAAUAC